CCUACGGGAGGCAGCAGUGGGGAAUAUUGGGCAAUGGAGGCAACUCUGACCCAGCAAAGCCGCGUGAAUGAUGAAGGUCUUCGGAUUGUAAAGUUCUGUGAUGGGGGAUGAAAACAAUGACGGUACCCCAAUAGCAAGCCACGGCUAACUACGUGCCAGCAGCCGCGUUAAUACGUAGGUGGCAAGCGUUAUCCGGAAUGACUGGGCGUAAGGGGUGCGUAGGUGGUUUAGUAAGUUGGCGGUGUAAUUCCGGGGCUCAACCUCGGCGCUACCGCCAAAACUAUUAGACUAGAGUGCAGGAGGGGUAAGUGGAAUUCCUAGUGUAGCGGUGGAAUGCGUAGAUAUUAGGAGGAACAUCAGGGGUGAAGGCGACUUACUGGACUGUAACUGACACUGAGGCACGAAAGCGUGGGGAGCAAACAGGAUUAGAUACCCGGGUAGUC
rnacentral:rRNA from 1 species